rnacentral:rRNA from 1 species
AGUGAACGCUGGCGGUAGGCCUAACACAUGCAAGUCGAACGGCAGCACAGUAAGAGCUUGCUCUUACGGGUGGCGAGUGGCGGACGGGUGAGGAAUACAUCGGAAUCUACUUUUUCGUGGGGGAUAACGUAGGGAAACUUACGCUAAUACCGCAUACGACCUACGGGUGAAAGCAGGGGAUCUUCGGACCUUGCGCGAUUGGAUGAGCCGAUGUCGGAUUAGCUAGUUGGCGGGGUAAAGGCCCACCAAGGCGACGAUCCGUAGCUGGUCUGAGAGGAUGAUCAGCCACACUGGAACUGAGACACGGUCCAGACUCCUACGGGAGGCAGCAGUGGGGAAUAUUGGACAAUGGGCGCAAGCCUGAUCCAGCCAUACCGCGUGGGUGAAGAAGGCCUUCGGGUUGUAAAGCCCUUUUGUUGGGAAAGAAAAGCAGCAGGUUAAUACCCCGCUGUUCUGACGGUACCCAAAGAGUAAGCACCGGCUAACUUCGUG